UCCGGAGUGGCUCAAUGGUAGAGCGGGUGGCUGUUAACCACUAGGUUGUAGGUUCGAAUCCUAUCUCCGGAG
rnacentral:tRNA from 1 species